rnacentral:rRNA from 1 species
AACGAACGCUGGCGGCAUGCCUAACACAUGCAAGUCGAACGAGACCUUCGAGUCUAGUGGCGCACGGGUGCGCAACGCGUGGGAACCUGCCCUUAGGUUCGGAAUAACUCCCCGAAAGGGGUGCUAAUACCGGAUAAUGUCUUCGGACCAAAGAUUUAUCGCCUUUGGAUGGGCCCGCGUUGGAUUAGCUAGUUGGUAGGGUAAAAGCCUACCAAGGCGACGAUCCAUAGCUGGUCUGAGAGGAUGAUCAGCCACACUGGGACUGAGACACGGCCCAGACUCCUACGGGAGGCAGCAGUGGGGAAUAUUGGACAAUGGGCGAAAGCCUGAUCCAGCAAUGCCGCGUGAGUGAUGAAGGCCUUAGGGUUGUAAAGCUCUUUUACCCGGGAUGAUAAUGACAGUACCGGGAGAAUAAGCGCCGGCUAACUCCGUG